CGGACCGGCGCACGGGUGAGUAACACGUAUCCAACCUGCCGAUGACUCGGGGAUAGCCUUUCGAAAGAAAGAUUAAUACCCGAUGGCAUAGUUCUUCCGCAUGGUAGAACUAUUAAAGAAUUUCGGUCAUCGAUGGGGAUGCGUUCCAUUAGGUUGUUGGCGGGGUAACGGCCCACCAAGGCGACGAUCAGUAGCCGGACUGAGAGGUUGACCGGCCACAUUGGGACUGAGAUACGGCCCAG
rnacentral:rRNA from 1 species